UACGAAGGGGGCUAGCGUUGCUCGGAAUGACUGGGCGUAAAGGGCGCGUAGGCGGAUAUGACAGUCAGGCGUGAAAUUCCUGGGCUCAACCUGGGGGCUGCGUUUGAUACGUUAUGUCUGGAGUUCGGAAGAGGGUCGUGGAAUUCCCAGUGUAGAGGUGAAAGUCGUAGAUAUUGGGAAGAACACCGGUGGCGAAGGCGGCGACCUGGUCCUGGACUGACGCUGAGGCGCGAAAGCGUGGGGAGCAAACAGG
rnacentral:rRNA from 1 species